AAGUAAAUAAAAUGGAGAUUAAAAAAAUAAUUUCUAUUAUUUGGAGGUUGUCAAUGCUUCUGAAGAGGCUAUACCGAGCACAGAAACGUAUGUUUUGGGUAGCAGUCGUAUUUGCCUUCACACUGAUCUUCUACGUUCUGAAACUGAAUAUAAAUGAACGAAUGAAAGCUGACGAUAUCAUCUAUACUUUAGAUAUUAACUAUAGAGAGAGUUGAUUGAGCAAAAGCUGUGGGAAAGCAUACUGGAAGACAAAGGUGCUGGUUGUGAGAUGCCAUACAUGGACCCGUUUUCAGAAGUGGCCUUGUCGUACAACCAGGUUUAUCCAAAAUAGUCUGUGACGGACUGGACUGGGUUGAAUGCAAUCAAUCAUACUGUUACGUGAUUGACGAGAUAUUGAACGCUAAUAGCAUGAUAGUAUGUAACUACAAAGACAUAUUAUAUCUAAACGACGGCAACUAUACAAUCGGAAAGCCUGUCAAAAUAUUCAACUCUGAUAAAUAUGUGUUGAACAGAAGUGACCAUGUUAAAGUUUCGUGCACUGGAUGGUCGAAAAAUAGUCUAGGUCUUUUAUCUUCACGCUGGUACGGCUACAAGGCUGGUCUCCGGCCCGUGCCUGUCAAGCCGUCUAAAGAUCGCGAUGACGCCUUCAAUGUCAUGAUUCUAUGCUUCGAUUCGACAUCACACAAUGGUUUCAUACGGAAAAUGCCCAAGAGCUACAAGGUUCUUCAAGAGGAAAUCAAUGCGACCAUACUGAAAAGUUAUAACAUAGUCGGUGAAGGGACAUCGAACGCCCUGUAUCCUAUACUGACUGGCUUGGACUUGCCCGACUGGAAAAGUAUUACGGAGAAAGUACUAGCUUGGAUGUGUGAUAUAAUUUCAGAAUGUUACCGCACAGCGUACUUCGAAGACAUGCCCUGGAUAGGAACGUUUCAGCGGUUCUUCAACGGGUUCGAUGCUCGCCCAGCAGACCACUACCUUCGCGCGUUCUUCUUGGAAGAGCUCCGCUGGGAACAAGUGGUGGCAUGGCAUCAAAGGCAGAUACUGCAUAGGCAGUGCGCCGCAAUAUGUUAUGAUGCUAGAACUUUCGAAACAGUUUCUUCAUCUCGACGGCAAGAGAUUCUGCUUUACCUUCAUAGCGGACAUCAGCCAUGACGACUUCAAUAUGAUAUCAACGGCUGAUGAUGAUGUUGUUGAUUUUUUGAGGUACUUCCAACGUCAAGGAUGGAUGGAGGAUACGCUGCUGAUUGUCAUGGGAGACCAUGGAGCUAAAUACGACACCUUAAGGAAAACGUAUCAAGGAAGAAUAGCGUCUUCCCCUAAAAGUAGCGGUAAAGCUACCAUCGAAACUGAUAAAGGCGCGUCCACGAGCCCUCGCAUCGUUAAAGGCGAACGCAGAAGUACUGACCUCGCCAUACGAUCUGCACACGACCUUACUCGACGUGGUGGGGCUGAUGAAACACAAGAGCCAACACUAUGUCGGGAUCUGAUCUGCCGCGUGGGAUGAGUUGGCUGGAGCCUAUCCCCAAGUCCAGGUCUUGUGGGGGAAGCAUGCCGCAUUGGUGUGCAUGUGCCAAAUGGAGGAACAUGUCCACAUCGAACGUCAUGUACAAGAAGGCAGCCGCAUAUCUAUUAGAUUAUAUCAAUAACAUGACUCGUGAAAGGAGAGACGUAUGCCUGGAGAGGACGUUACAAUCGAUACAGUGGGUAUUAAUCUAUAUGCCGCAUAGAGAAAUGCUGAAGAAAGUGGAAAGGGGUAUGUUUGGAGUCGGCAAGCCUGUCGUCGGCAUCGACAAACGGCAGUAUCAAGUUAAAAUAGUAACCGACCCUGCUGAUGGUAUGUUUGAAGCAUCCAUGGUGUAUUACGUCAGGGAGAGGUAUUUUAUGAUGAGCGAAAAGGAUGUGUCCAGAAUUAACGCAUACGGCCAUGAACCCCACUGUAUCGAAGCAACUCACCCGCAUCUGCUCAAGUACUGCUAUUGCAAUAACACCGAAUGGAUGACUGAGACAUCUACACCAGACUUUAAUAAGGCAAAACAGUUGCACUAAGGUAACAGUCCACGUGAUUAAUGGUGUCCAAUCAGCGGUAACAUCACAGCAGUGUACUUUAUUAAGGUCUACGCAGACGGCGUUAUUCGAACGCGCUGACAACGCGCGUUAUAUCCGCCCUAGUUUUUAAAGUAAAGUUUUUGUUUUAUACGGGUGCAACGAAGUGACUGUUGAGAUUAGGUAAGCGGAAUUACGUCCAAAUAGACAGUCCAGGAGCAUCGACUGGCGAGAGAAAAUUAUCCCUCAGUCGACAUAACUAUGCACUGUUCGAAAUUAAAUAUUAUAUAGUUUCUGUAUAGCGUGUACGUUUUAAUUGCAUUUAAAGCGCGUCGUCAGCGCGUUUAUAAACGUCGUGUGCGGAGAUCCUUAUGCUAUCGCGGCCAGAAUAUGGCUUACUUUCCA